GUAUUAAUAUUAUAACAAAAGGCAUUGCUGCCUUUUGAUAACACAUUCAAAGACUACAAAGUAGGGUGUUGUAAAAUACAUAGAUACCGAAGCAAAGGCAGCCUUUGACAGCAAACCCUCAAAAAAAUAACAAUCCAAAGGAGUUGAUUAUUUUUAUCCAGCAUCUACAAGAAGUGCACAGGUGGGUUGGAGAUAAAUAGUUUGAAAGGUGUGCACAUUGCUCCCCAAUAGAGAGCCAGCUACAACCUCCCAAAUUAUAUUUAUUCAAUAAUGAUCCUUCCGCAGGUUCACCUACGGAAA
rnacentral:misc_RNA from 1 species